CCGUACUAGUGUUUCUCUAAACGACAUAGAGAAGUUCUGGAUACGCCUUUGCUAUUACAUGUGUACGUGUUUUGGAGAGGAUAAUGAUGACCAAUCAAAUGUCAAACUUUCUGCGCCAGUUAUGUUAGCUAUGCCAAUGCCAGGAAUCUUAACUCAUUUACAUUAAUUGAUGUGACAUGAUAUUAGGUGUGACAUUUGUUAAUAGUGUUUAACGUUAUGUUAAAACUUGUCUAUCAUUUAUCCAUGAAUAAGCAAGAAGUAUUCUGAUGGAGGAAAUUAUUUCUGUGGUACUUUAGAUACUUUAUUAUCUGGAUUGUAUUUUGAACAGAUGUGCAUUGUAUCCACAAUCAUCUGACAUACGGCGGAUUUAUCCAACACAUCACUAGCUCAAAAUGAAGCAACUCAGCUCUGAAUAUUUUUCUUGAAUCGAUAUAAAAUAAAUAAUUCUAAGUACAA